CCUAGCUAAUCGCAAAAACCGGUCCUCAGUUCGGAUUGUGGGCUGCAACCCGCCCACAUGAAGCUGGAAUCGCUAGUAAUCGCGGAUCAGCACGCCGCGGUGAAUGGGUUCCUGAGCCUUGUACACACCGCCCGUCAAGCCACCAAAGCGGGGGGUAUCCGAAGUCGCCGGAGCCUCACGGCAGGCGCCGAAGAUGAAACCCGUGAU
rnacentral:rRNA from 1 species